rnacentral:rRNA from 1 species
UAGGGAAUCUUCCACAAUGGACGCAAGUCUGAUGGAGCAACGCCGCGUGAGUGAAGAAGGUUUUCGGACCGUAAAGCUCUGUUGUUGGUGAAGAAGGAUAGAGGUAGUAACUGGCCUUUAUUUGACGGUAAUCAACCAGAAAGUCACGGCUAACUACGUGCCAGCAGCCGCGGUAAUACGUAGGUGGCAAGCGUUGUCCGGAUUUAUUGGGCGUAAAGCGAGCGCAGGCGGAAGAAUAAGUCUGAUGUGAAAGCCCUCGGCUUAACCGAGGAAUUGCAUCGGAAACUGUUUUCUUGAGUGCAGAAGAGGAGAGUAGAACUCCAUGUGUAGCGGUGGAAUGCGUAGAUAUAUGGAAGAAUACCAGUGGCGAAGGCGGCUCUCUGGUCUGCAACUGACGCUGAGGCUCGAAAGCAUGGUAGCGAACAGGAUUAGAUACCCUG